GGGCCAGUAAUAGGUUCGACGGGCUGGAUGUAGUUGGAGAAGCUAUCCGUAGGUGAGACGUUACAUCACAAAAUUAAAAAUAAACGCAGACGAAAAUUUAGCGUACGCUGCCUAAUGGCAGCUGUCUGACUUAGGGCACCUACACCUUAAGACCCAGGCAUCGACUAUGUAGGAAACGACAUAUGCAAAGCUUUGAGCAUAUGGGCGUAUUAUGAAGCUACUGAAAUCAGAAGGGUGUUAGUUCUCGUCUGAUGGAGGGAAUGUCAAAGAACUGACUAUGAUAGUAGAAGUACAAUGGAGUCUGGUUCGGACACGGGGGCGGUACCCGUCUGGUCCAUCA
rnacentral:tmRNA from 1 species